AUAAGAGAUAAUGAGUCUUGGGAACUGGAAAUACGUAAAAUGCUAGUAAGCCUUUGCUCUCUACAAAAACACCUGCCUUAUACCUUCCUGGCCUUAAUGUGAUCAGCUGAGACAGCGUGAGAGGUUGCUUUAACUGAGACUCCAUGCCCAACAUGGGGCUUGAACUCAUAACCCUGAGAUGCAGAGUCAUCUGCUGUAUGAACUGAGCCAGCCAU